AGAGUUUGAUCAUGGCUCAGAUUGAACGCUGGCGGCAGGCCUAACACAUGCAAGUCGAACGGUAACAGGAAGCAGCUUGCUGCUUUGCUGACGAGUGGCGGACGGGUGAGUAAUGUCUGGGAAACUGCCUGAUGGAGGGGGAUAACUACUGGAAACGGUGGCUAAUACCGCAUAACGUCGCAAGACCAAAGAGGGGGACCUUCGGGCCUCUUGCCAUCAGAUGUGCCCAGAUGGGAUUAGCUUGUUGGUGAGGUAACGGCUCACCAAGGCGACGAUCCCUAGCUGGUCUGAGAGGAUGACCAGCCACACUGGAACUGAGACACGGUCCAGACUCCUACGGGAGGCAGCAGUGGGGAAUAUUGCACAAUGGGCGCAAGCCUGAUGCAGCCAUGCCGCGUGUAUGAAGAAGGCCUUCGGGUUGUAAAGUACUUUCAGCGGGGAGGAAGGUGUUGUGGUUAAUAACCGCAGCAAUUGACGUUACCCGCAGAAGAAGCACCGGCUAACUCCGUGCCAGCAGCCGCGGUAAUACGGAGGGUGCAAGCGUUAAUCGGAAUUACUGGGCGUAAAGCGCACGCAGGCGGUCUGUCAAGUCGGAUGUGAAAUCCCCGGGCUCAACCUGGGAACUGCAUUCGAAACUGGCAGGCUUGAGUCUUGUAGAGGGGGUAGAAUUCCAGGUGUAGCGGUGAAAUGCGUAGAGAUCUGGAGGAAUACCGGUGGCGAAGGCGGCCCCCUGGACAAAGACUGACGCUCAGGUGCGAAAGCGUGGGGAGCAAACAGGAUUAGAUACCCUGGUAGUCCACGCCGUAAACGAUGUCUACUUGGAGGUUGUGCCCUUGAGGCGUGGCUUCCGGAGCUAACGCGUUAAGUAGACCGCCUGGGGAGUACGGCCGCAAGGUUAAAACUCAAAUGAAUUGACGGGGGCCCGCACAAGCGGUGGAGCAUGUGGUUUAAUUCGAUGCAACGCGAAGAACCUUACCUGGUCUUGACAUCCACAGAACUUUCCAGAGAUGGAUUGGUGCCUUCGGGAACUGUGAGACAGGUGCUGCAUGGCUGUCGUCAGCUCGUGUUGUGAAAUGUUGGGUUAAGUCCCGCAACGAGCGCAACCCUUAUCCUUUGUUGCCAGCGGUCCGGCCGGGAACUCAAAGGAGACUGCCAGUGAUAAACUGGAGGAAGGUGGGGAUGACGUCAAGUCAUCAUGGCCCUUACGACCAGGGCUACACACGUGCUACAAUGGCGCAUACAAAGAGAAGCGACCUCGCGAGAGCAAGCGGACCUCAUAAAGUGCGUCGUAGUCCGGAUUGGAGUCUGCAACUCGACUCCAUGAAGUCGGAAUCGCUAGUAAUCGUGGAUCAGAAUGCCACGGUGAAUACGUUCCCGGGCCUUGUACACACCGCCCGUCACACCAUGGGAGUGGGUUGCAAAAGAAGUAGGUAGCUUAACCUUCGGGGGGGCGCUUACCACUUUGUGAUUCAUGACUGGGGUGAAGUCGUAACAAGGUAACCGUAGGGGAACCUGCGGUUG
rnacentral:rRNA from 1 species